rnacentral:rRNA from 1 species
UUCGCAAUGCCCGAAAGGGUGACGAAGCGACGCCGCGUGUGGGAAGAAGGCCUUCGGGUUGUAAACCACUGUCGGGAGUUAGGAAAUGUAAGGGUGUUAAUAGUAUCCUUACUUGACUAAGGCUCCGGAGGAAGCCACGGCUAACUCUGUGCCAGCAGCCGCGGUAAUACAGAGGCGGCAAGCGUUGUUCGGAAUUAUUGGGCGUAAAGAGCACGUAGGCGGCCUUGCAAGCCAGUUGUGAAAGCCUUCUGCUUAACGGAAGAACAGCAGCUGAUACUGCAAGGCUAGAGUGCGGAAGGGGAGAGUGGAACUUCUGGUGGAGCGGUGAAAUGCGUAGAUAUCAGAAGGAACACCGGCGGCGAAGGCGACUCUCUGGUCCGUAACUGACACUGAGUGUGCGAAAGCUAGGGGAGCAAACGGGAUUAGAUACCCCGGUAGUCCUAGCCGUAAACGAUGGGCACUAAGUAGAGGGGUUUU